rnacentral:lncRNA from 1 species
CAAACAUAUCCUCAAAGAGCACUAAAACUCUGGAGGCUGCAACGAGUAUUCUGGCCUGGCCUCGUGACUGAAGUAAGAGAACCAGGAAACAGUUCAUGUAAUACAUAGCUGUCCAGAGGACAGAGCUAGUUAGACCUUUGAAAGCCUAUCCAACUUGGAAAGACUGGGUCUGUUUCAUGCCUGAAGUAUUCAUUUGCACCUUGUCAGACCUUGUAUCCCUGGAUUUAUUUCUUCUGGGUUUUAGCACAAUCCAAAUGUCCACCCCUUUAAUCCUCAUUGGUUAGCUUAGAUAAGCCUUCAUGCUUACCCCUAACUGAUCCUGCUUAGUGCGUGAUCUCCACGGGGCCACCUCUGGGGCUGUGAACUUACUGAUGUCCAUCUUUGUAUUGACGACAAAGUGUGCCUUCUCGUACAAAAAGCCUGUGCCUACUAUUCCCUCGCUGAUGACUUCAGACAAUCUAUAAAGGGAUCUAUCUCAAUUCCUGAAAAGGUUUUCCAUCCUCUGUACCUACUCUCUGGAUUAUAUGGCGCUCCCCAAAGGGGCAAAGGAUGAGAAAGGUAAAUGUAUUCUGUUGGCAUACUCCUGGGCACAUUGGCCAAUGCCUGUAUUGCUUGAGUAGUCACAGGGGAGCA